UACAGAGGUCCCAAGCGUUGUUCGGGUUCACUGGGCGUAAAGGGUGCGUAGGUGGUGGGGAAAGUCUGGCGUGAAAUCUCCGAGCUUAACUCGGAAAUGGCGUUGGAAACUACCUCACUCGAGGGUUGGAGGGGGGACUGGAAUACUUGGUGUAGCAGUGAAAUGCGUAGAUAUCAAGUGGAACACCAGUGGCGAAGGCGAGUCCCUGGACAACUCCUGACACUGAGGCACGAAAGCUAGGGGAGCAAACAGG
rnacentral:rRNA from 1 species